rnacentral:rRNA from 1 species
UACGUAGGUGGCAAGCGUUGUCCGGAUUUAUUGGGUUUAAAGGGUGCGUAGGCGGCCCCGUAAGUCAGUGCUGAAAUAUCCCGGCUUAACCGGGAGGGUGGCAUUGAUACUGCGAGGCUUGAGUAAAGUUGAGGUAGGCGGAAUUGACGGUGUAGCGGUGAAAUGCUUAGAUAUCGUCAAGAACACCGAUAGUGUAGACAG